CUGCCCUAGGUUAAAUUUGUUUGUUUAUUGCUUAUCUAGAUGAGUUAAUCCUGAUGCCCUUGAUUUUGGCAGAUAACCGUAUUCGGCACAUUCCAGUAAUUGAUGACAAGGGAAUGAUAGGCAUGGUGUCCAUUGGAGAUGUUGUUCGUGCUGUGGUGAGUGAGCAUCGUGAGGAGUUAAACCGCCUGAAUGCUUUUAUACAAGGAGGUUACUAGAUGAUGAUGACAAGAUGAAAUGUUGUGAUGCAUGUUUUUUGAGUACUACUAAUAAGACAGGAGGUUGUAAAUAUGGCGUGUUGUAUGCAUCUCCUGUCGUAUGCUUUUUCUUUUUC
rnacentral:lncRNA from 1 species